GUGAGCCUAGUGAUAGGAGACUAUCUAGCUUGGUUCGGAGAGCACUUGUUGGGUUUAAGAUUAGUUUUUUGCUAAAUGUUACGGCCUAAAUGCUGAACUAUUGACCCUAC
rfam:Oryza sativa Japonica Group mitochondrial DNA, complete genome.